UACAAAGAUAGAGAAGCAUUGUUUCUAGAUCUGAGUAUAUCAAUAUUACCUUGUUCAGAACUUAAAGAGAAAUCUUGAGUUUAUGGACUUCAGGGGGAGUAUGGUCACAAGGCUGAAACUUAAAGGAAUUGACGGAAGGGCACACCAGGAGUGGAGCCUGCGGCUUAAUUUGACUCAACACGGGAAAACUUACCAAGACCGAACAGUAGAAGGAAUGACAGAUUAAGAGUUCUUUCAUGAUUUAUUGGGUAGUGGUGCAUGGCCGUUCUUAGUUGGUGGAGUGAUUUGUCAGGUUAAUUCCGGUAACGAACGAGACUGAAACCUAUUAAUUAGUUUUCUGCCUAUAAGACAGAAAUGUUCGCAAGAACAGGUGCGUAAGUACCACUUCUUAAAGG
rnacentral:rRNA from 1 species